UGAAGGUGCAUUAAUUCAGACCCCAGCAGGAACUGAAGAGUCACAUCAGUCCAUCUACUGAAAGAGGGAUUUCUGCCUGUUUUGACUGUUUUAGUGGAUUUUAUCAGCCCAGCUGAAGACGGUCGAGCCAUCGGCAGAGCAGCAGCACCAACCGUCCUCCUUCCUCCAGGACUUCUGGGCCAGAACACAGUGACCCCGUCAGCCACUGAUGCCCAGGAUUUAAAGUCCAGCUGUUCUGGAUGUGUUGCUGACAGUCCAUCAGAGAGAAGCAGACCUCACAGCUGCUGGAAGCUGCUUCACUCCGCCUCAGCUUCCCCACUGGUCUGGCGCUGGACGCCCCCUGCUGGUACAAACGGGGAAUGGCAGAGACAGUCUGAACACGAGACUCAACAAACCAUCAGAACAGGAACUUAUUCCUGUUUAGUUUG